rnacentral:rRNA from 1 species
UACGGAGGGGGGCUAGCGUUGUUCGGAAUUACUGGGCGUAAAGCGCACGUAGGCGGCUUUGUAAGUUAGAGGUGAAAGCCCCGGGGCUCAACUCCGGAAUUGCCUUUAAGACUGCAUCGCUAGAAUUGUGGAGAGGUAAGUGGAAUUCCGAGUGUAGAGGUGAAAUUCGUAGAUAUUCGGAAGAAACACCAGUGGCGAAGGCGACUUACUGGACACAUAUUGACGCUGAGGUGCGAAAAGCGUGGGGGAGCAAACAGG